rnacentral:lncRNA from 1 species
UGAGGCACAGGAAGUGAGGUGGAGAACAGACUCUGGAGUUCACUCACUUCCUGUGGACAGGGCUAGAGUCAGUUAGAUUCUGGAGCUCGAGCUGGGAGGAGGCCCACAGACAGCUUUCCUUCAAAUCAGUCAUGGGAAAAGUCUUUAACCAGAUGAGAUCAUAGUAUUACCAUGAUAUUAAUUGAUGAUAGCAUGAAGAGAAGGGAUAAGGAGAGGUGAGAGGAGACUACUGAACAGAUCUCUGAAGGAAGUCACAAAUUCCAAAAAGUGGACAUGAGGAAGGAGAGUAUUCCAGGUAUUCUUCAGCAGCAAUUGACCUCUACUUAUCCACUUCACCUGGUUCAUGUAUUUUGAAGCUAAUAGUAAGCUAAAAAAUGCAGAAGAGAAGAAAAAGAAAUAUGAACAGUUGUUGAAUAAUUCCUACAAAGGAAAGUUUAAAUACCUGGAAAGUUACAUCUACAGAAAUCAAGAUUCGUCCCUUCUGAAAGAAAUGUCAGGAGUAUGGGUGCCAGAUGAUAAGAAACAAAGAAGGACUUCCUGA